CAUAUUUGUACCAUCUAACAAGUCUGGAGAUGUUUGGAGUUGUUAGACACAAAUUGGAGCCGUUGCAACACUGAGUUGACACAUUAAUUAUAUUUUGCAGAUGACUUGUACCAAUACAAGUGUUUUGGUACCAAUAGAAGUCUUAAAAAUUAUAGCCAUUAGAGGUUGUGGUAUCAAUACAAGUGGGCUAAUAACAAUACAAGUCUGAGGGAAGAAUAAAUGGAACUUACUAUCUGACUUAUUGCGAUACAAUUCCUCAAGGGCAUUGAUACAUGUUUAUGGAAAAUUAGAGGUGCUCAUUGUCUGACUUGUUGCGAUACCAGUCUUGGCUAGUAUUGAUAUAACUCUAGUUGCAUCAAUACUCCUAGGGCUUUGUGCGGUACUUCUCCCUUAGAAUCAUGAGAGAUUAUUAUCUCAAUUGUAUCGACACAAGUGGGCCAGGGGUUUCGUAUAAGUUUCUAGACUUUACUAAAACAAUUGUAGAGGAAUUUUCAAGGACUUUUAGGAUUAUAAGAAAUACUCUAAAUCAAUUUAAUUAGAUUUAUGAGUUUGAAAACACUUGUGUAGGGACCCAAUUUUGCCCGGGCCCAUACAAAACAAAAACAAAAAAAUAAAAUAAACUAAACAAAAUAAGACUGGUCCAUUUACAACCAAUACCAAACCCAUUACAAGCCCAAACCAAAAUUAAACACCAGCCCAAAGCUAACUAAACCCAAACCCCCGACAAGUCAACUAACCCUAAGCCCAAACAACAAACAAAAAAACAACAAAAUGUUGCAUUUAUUUUUCUUAUUCUAAUAUAAAGAAAUUGGCUUUUGAUUUUUUUUUUUACCUACAUAGACAAUCAAUACAAAAAAAUAACUAGGUUACGAAUACAAAAAAAUCAAUAGAGAGAAAACAAAUAGAUUGAUCAAAGGAAACAGUAUUGGCCAAAGGUGAUUGUUUUAGUUUUUUUUUUUAAUCCCCUCUUGAUACAAAUAUUGAUAGAAAUACAUAAAAAAAUAAAAAGGAGAGAACACUUACCAGAGGCGAUUCCUCUUCUACCGUCGUCAGAGGCCGCGGCAUCUGAAUACCUCUAAACCCCUUAGGGUUCUGAUGAGGAUUUGGAAGACGAUAGAGGCCUAGUUCUCUCCCCUUCUUAUGCAUUACUUUCUUUUGAUUUUUGAAGCAAAAAGAAACCCUUUUUUAGCUUUUAGAAAAGGGACUUAAAAGGGGUUUGAGGAGGCCGAUUUUGUACGUUUUCGAUGGUCGGCUACGAUGGAGCCAUGGCGGAGGCUCACCGAGCCCUAUGGCCGGAAUAUAGGUUCUCCCCAGAGAGAAAAGAGCCUCUCUCUCCCUUUUUCUUUAAAGAACACAAAA
rnacentral:lncRNA from 1 species